GAUGUGAUUAGUCUUGGAUUUGAGUGAGUGAGAAUAUGAAUCUGUUCAUAGGAACAGAAAGAAGAAGAAAAGAAAGAAAAGAAGGUCAAGAAAAAGGAAGAACGAUUAAAGAGAAAGGAACAUGAAAGGGAAGAGAAGGAGAAAGAAGAACAAAAACUGAAGAUUUAUAAAGAACAGGGACAAAGAGAGAUGAAAGAGAAUCUCAAGCAAGGAGAUAAGAACACGCAUCCACCUCUCCAAAGAGUAGAUUCUGGUAAGACGAGAUUUAGCACUGUAAAGCUUGCAAGGAAGCUUGAAUCCUCAACUAUUCCUAAAUCACCUCCCAAAGUACCUGCUUCCCCAGUACUGGCUACACAUGCGCAGUUCCUCUCAAGACAGCGUUCGCAAUCCGAAGGAAGUGAAGGCGAACCUUUUACUCCACCCCCGUCAGUAUGGAAAGUACCGGAAUACGUCGAGCCCAAGUGGAACCCUGGGAAACCUGAAUCAAAAACGGACGUUAUGAACGGCCUUUAAGGACCGACUAGGCUUCGAAGCUGGACCUUUUGAUUUACAGGGCCAGAAAAUACAUAAUGACAGGCUUCCAAAAAUCUUGCGCGGCAUGUACAAUAGGGAUCUGGGACAAUUCAAUUCUCGACUGUCAGACCUGAGGCGCGUCUCUGUAACGGUAAUUAGCAUUCCUGUAGCCGUUUCUUGACUGUUCAAGAGGUAUUCGGUCUUGUAAAUUAAAGCUUUUAUUUGUGUCGUUCACAUUGUAAGGUCAAGAUAACAGAAUUUUCAUAAUGCGAACGAUGAAACAGAACGAAGUAAUGAGAAAUUAAACAGAACGGAGAGAUUUUUGAGCUAAUACACGUUAUAGUUUUCCUAACAUUUAGAUUUUUUGACAUCGAGCCCGAAAAUAAUUGAGACUUUCGAUUAAGGGCCCCAGGUAUUAGAUGAAAGUUUGGAAGUGAGAUACAACAGCAGCUUGUUGGCCAUGGCUAACUCAUUUGAAAUCUAGUAUAUUUCAAUAGCAUUCGUUGAGGUAAACACUCUCGGUAUAUUCCCCC